rnacentral:rRNA from 1 species
GAUGAACGCUGGCGGCGUGCCUAAUACAUGCAAGUCGAGCGAACAGACGAGGAGUUUGCUCCUCUGACGUUAGCGGCGGACGGGUGAGUAACACGUGGAUAACCUACCUAUAAGACUGGGAUAACUUCGGGAAACCGGAGCUAAUACCGGAUAAUAUAUUGAACCGCAUGGUUCCAUAGUGAAAGACGGUUUUGCUGUCACUUAUAGAUUGAUCCGCGCCGCAUUAGCUAGUUGGUAAGGUAACGGCUUACCAAGGCGACGAUGCGUAGCCGACCUGAGAGGGUGAUCGGCCACACUGGAACUGAGACACGGUCCAGACUCCUACGGGAGGCAGCAGUAGGGAAUCUUCCGCAAUGGGCGAAAGCCUGACGGAGCAACGCCGCGUGAGUGAUGAAGGUCUUCGGAUCGUAAAACUCUGUUAUUAGGGAAGAACAAAUGUGUAAGUAACUAUGCACGUCUUGACGGUACCUAAUCAGAAAGCAACGGCUAACUACGUG